rnacentral:lncRNA from 1 species
GCGCCUUGUGCCCCGUCGGACCAACGUGGACCUCGGGGCAGUACCCGCAGACUCUGACCCUGUACAUCCUCAUCAGCUUCUUGGCUCCCGCUCUCAUCUCUUCCCACGCUUGUAGAGUCUCUUCCGCUAGGGAGACUGUUUCUUCUUCGUUGGAAGGUGGAGUGAUCUCUGAGGGAGGUAGCUCGGUUAACAACGGCUCUGGAGGAAAGUGAGGCUCUGGAUCAGGCAGUUCGGUUUCAUCUGCGUCUACGAACUCGCUUUUGCCGAUGCGGAUUAUCGGUUUUCUUCUCCUUUUCGUUGGAAACUCAGGGAUCUCAACGCCUCCUUGGAUGCAGAGCUCGACUACGGCGGGGACUCGAGGGAUGGUGAAUCUCUCAUCGUGACGGAUGCGCUUGCCGAGACGGUCGUAGAGGUGGUAAGCUUCAAGAGGGACAAUGACGUCUUCGAGGACAGAGUUUGUCCAUUCAUGAUGACCUUUCCUUUGAGAAGCACUAGGACCUUUACACGACUUAAACGGAUGACCGUAAGGUCCAACGUGGAUCUCAUUACACCACCUAAGAGACAAAACAAGAACAACACAUAACCAAACAUAACAAGAAGAGGAAGAAGAAGAAGAAGAAGAGGAGUUAUUAAUUUAUUAUUACCCACAAGCGUUAACACGAACUACUUUCAUGAGGCGGUGGAGAUUGUUGAUCAGUCUGAUUCUCGCGUUGUACACUUUGUAAGCAAGAGGGACGAGAAGAGACAUGAGCCUGAUAAGAAUAGUUAUAGGAACAGAACAGAAGUGAACUUGCUAAAAGAAGAAGAAGGAGAAGACAGUUACUUACUUAAAAAGCUAAUCCAUGGCUUUAGACUGAUUUCAAACGUGACGAUGAUGAUGAGGGAUAACGCUUUGCAGUUUGAGGAAAAAAGUAAGAAGAAGAAGAAGAAGACACGAAAGUGGGUGUGAAUGUGAAAGCGAGCAGACCAGACAAGUGGUAUCUUGCCUUUACCAAAGAUAAAUAAAACUAAAGCAAUGAAGAAGAAAGGGAAUCUGGUAAAUGACGUUUUUACCCUUGAUUAUUUCAAAAAGUAGAUUUGUUCUUUUUAAAAAGUCUCAAAAGUGAUGUUUCAAACACAAGAUGAGACACCGUCACUAGUCAACUGGUUGGAACUUAAAAUAAUGUGAUUUUCAAUUAAAUAAUUAUACUAUGAAAAAAGGACAAACAUGUUCAAGGGAUCCAAAACUUCAAGGUCUGAAGCUGAAACUGAACAAUUGUGUUGGAUUUGUUUGUCCUACUUAUUAUCUAUCAAGUAUUUAAGUUUAUACUUAUGCCACAUGUACCUAGGUGCAUAUUAUCUACUGCAAAGAUGUCAUUCAAUGGUUCUUAAGUUAGAUUGUGGUAAUAGACAAGCAGUGAUGCUAUAAACAUCAAAUCAAACGACCAUUUCAGCUUCUUGAACACUAGAAGGUAUCCCAACCUCCAGUCUCAUAGUAGCCCUAUACUGUUCAGGCACUCCAGCACCAGCCUGCGCACAUAUCUCCACAACAGCAGGUGCUUGCCCGUAGAAGCUUCUCAGCUCCCUCUGCAUCGGCGGCCCAUUCACAUCAGGAACAUGCCAAACGUAUCUCGGCGGUAUCAAGUCAUCAAGCACCGCAGACUGCCAACCGUGCUGACCAUUCCUCUGCUGGUGCUUGAACGCGCCGCAGUUCUGCGCCUUGUGCCCCGUCGGACCAACGUGGACCUCGGGGCAGUACCCGCAGACUCUGACCCUGUACAUCCUCAUCAGCUUCUUGGCUCCCGCUCUCAUCUCUUCCCACGCUUGUAGAGUCUCUUCCGCUAGGGAGACUGUUUCUUCUUCGUUGGAAGGUGGAGUGAUCUCUGAGGGAGGUAGCUCGGUUAACAACGGCUCUGGAGGAAAGUGAGGCUCUGGAUCAGGCAGUUCGGUUUCAUCUGCGUCUACGAACUCGCUUUUGCCGAUGCGGAUUAUCGGUUUUCUUCUCCUUUUCGUUGGAAACUCAGGGAUCUCAACGCC